UUUCGCAAUGCCCGAAAGGGUGACGAAGCGACGCCGCGUGGGUGAGGAAGGCCCUCGGGUUGUAAAGCCCUGUCAGGAGUUAAGAAAUGUAAGUGCGCUAAUAUCGCAUUUAUUUGACAAAGGCUCCAAAGGAAGCCACGGCUAACUCUGUGCCAGCGGCCGCGGUAAUACAGAGGUGGCAAGCGUUGUUCGGAAUUAUUGGGCGUAAAGAGCACGUAGGUGGGUUUGUAAGUCAGAUGUGAAAGCCUUCUGUUCAAAGGAAGAACGGCAUCUGAAACUACAGAUCUUGAGUGUAGGAGGGGAGAGUGGAACUUCUGGUGGAGUGGUGAAAUGCGUAGAUAUCAGAAGGAACGUCGGCGGCGAAAGCGACUCUCUGGCCUAUUACUGACACUGAGUGUGCGAAAGUUAGGGGAGCAAACGGGAUUAGAUACCCCGGUAGUCCUAACCGUAAACGAUGGGCACUAAGUAGAGGGGUUUUA
rnacentral:rRNA from 1 species